CACCCGGGUCCCUGGAAUCUGCCUUUGAGAGAUGUAGAAUUUCGGGCGGGAGGGACUGAGGAGGCUUGAUCCAUAGACCCUGUGCAGUCUGGACCACCUUCAGCCGGUGGUGCUGGGUUGCUGUCUCAACAACAGGUAAGCUUCUGCCUCUCCACUUGCCUUCAACUCACCUGAGGAACCCAAGACUCCCCGUCAUCCUCCCCUCCACGGCCAGAGCAAACCCCAGCCCCCAGGAGAGAUCGGAGUUCCGAGGCUCCAGGCUACAUGCUCAUUAGCAGCUUCCCAAGCGGGGGUUUUGUGUUUAUGUAAAACACAAAUGGAAAGCUGCUCUCUGCCAGUGUUUACGGCAACUCUCACUCAGCGGCGAUUUCUCCCUCCCCCUCUCGAGUUCCUGGGGACGUUUCGCAGAACAAAGCGCCUUGUUUUGUCUUUGCAGAGAAUGAAAAAACACAGGACCAACUUUCCAAGGGCCCAGGUCUGUGAUGCAGUGAAAUCAAUAUUUUGCUUACACUGAGUGGGGGAAUUUGCCUCUAAACUAAAGGCAAAGGAGCCUGUUUGGAGCAGAGCAGGUGGCAGGAGCUGAGAAUUAACAGAUAAUUUCUCAUUGUUCCCGGAUCCAGCCUCCACACUCCGCAGGCAGCUCUGCAUCUCUGGCAUUUCUCAACCUAACAGAGCGAAAGAGGCUCUGCCCUGACAGGGCUGCAGGAAGAGGCCGGAGCUCCAGGCUUCUGGUGCCAGAGUAACUGCAGGAAAGAGACAGAGACACUGAGAUAGAGGAGACAGGCACAGAGACUGGGGGUAGGAGAUACAGAGAAACCUAGUCAGACACCUACAAUGGCACACAUUCAGAAAGCAACACUAAAAAUACUUCUUCGUACACUAUGACAUGCUUCACCUUAGCUGGUCUCUUCCUGCCUCACCAUCAGCUGCUGAUGCCACUGUGGUGACUAGUCAGUAUCAAAACAGAAGAAAACCUUCUCCUGGAUCUCUCAAACCCUUCCCCAGGCCCCAAUUCCCAAACACAUCUAAAAGUCUUCUCAUAUGAAGAAACCAGAUUCAGACUCCCAGGGCGUCACCCAAAUGCCAGAGGGAAAAAGGUUGAAAGAAAUGGAAUUGUAGACCACUCAACCCUGCAGAGAAAGACUAUGCUGAGUGUGGGCUUACACAUGGGGAAGGGGGGGGGGGGAGCAUGGGAAAUAUGGCCAAAUGCCAAACAGGGACAUCAGACAGGGUAGUAGGAGGCCUAGGGCAGUCCCAGCCACCGUCAAGACUUCAGUGUCCUUGUGAAGCAGGGGCCCUUCAAGGCUAGAAGCAGAGGAUGAUUUUCCACGUGCCCAGCUCCCCUCCCCUCCCCCAGCUAUCUUCUAGCUUUGGCCAGAACUGUCUGAAUCUGGGGUCCCUGGACCAGGCUGCUCAGAAGUACAGAAUGGGUCUAGACAAGGGGCCUGAGGCAGAAUGAGAGAUCUGAAGCAGAAACCAGAGGUCUCCCACUCCCAGGCCUUUGUCAUCCUCUCCCUAGAUAGCCAAAGUGCACAUUCCCCACCCCCACCCCCAUUCUCUGCCCUUGGGGCAGGCACCCACCCUACUCAGAGCAGUGGUGUCUUGUUGAAUUAUGCUACAAAUAAAAUAAAUGAGGUCCAUAUAAUUUUUUUUUUUAAAUUUGAACCUUGGUAAGAAAUUGCUAAUGCUGUAGGCGGGAAGAGUGAGCUCCUUUGACAUGAACUGAUGUGUCAUAUCAUCUUUCCAUCUCAGUGCCGUUUCUAAAUAGGGAGCCCUCUCCCCAGCCCCGCCCCCAGCCUCUCCAGUCCCCGGCAGAGAUGUAAAGGUGGAUAGUCUGACGUGCAGAGAGAGAUAACAGGCAACUAGACACAAGGAAGCUCACUGCUUUGUCAAGUAAGUCAGAGCCACAGAGACCCCAGCUUUGAGGGCCCACGCUCUUCUCUCUACCUCCCUUUCCCCAUGGUUUCUGAGGUAUUUUCCGAGAUCAGAGAGGGUCACCCAGGAAGCGUAGUGUUCAGAGGCUAACUUGUACUCAUUGGCUAAGCUAGUCCCUGAAAACAGCCAAGAAGGAAAUUAUCUCAUUCAGUCCUCAACUGUUAUGAGGAAGGUGGUUCCCAGACCCUCUGACCACAGGCAAUGCCUCUUCCUUCUUCAUAUUGAAAGAAGGUUGGUAGGGUUGUGAAAUUUUUAUAUUUUCCUUUAAAAGGUUAUGAUAUUUUCCAAUAGACUUUCUUAUAUGUAAAGGGUAUUCAUAAAUUAAUUAUAGAGGAAUGGAAGAUUCAGUUCUGUGUGUCUUUGCAAAGAUCUCUGGGACCUAGGUGCUGGCUUGGAGGGAAGUCAAUGUCAUUGAUAAAGCCCAGAGUUGGAACCUGGGCUGAUCAACUCCUCCUCCUCCAAACAUGCUUGACUGCUUGACUUUGAGCAGAGCUGGGACUCUCCAGGAGCUGCCUGGAGAGUCUCGGCUACACCUGGGAUGUGUACGGUGCUCAGGGCUCAGCUUCCAGGAAAGGAUCUAGAGCACAGCCUCAGUGUUGGAAUUCUCCCCAGGAGCCUGCCCAGAGUUUGCAAUCUCAAGACUCUGGCUGUUCUACUAAUGAAAGAAAACCAAAUAAAAUGUCCAAAGUAAUUAAAGUGACAUGUUAGAAAAGGCCUGCCAAAAGAUGUCUUAAUCCUGGAUUUUGAUAGAAUUCAGACAGCAAAUCAAGGGCUUGAAAUCUCCCACGGAAUGAAGGGGCCAGAGCCCCUGGAAAGAACAAAGCUGUUUUGCCAAAUUAUAGUUUCCCUCUACACUGUGGGAUCAAAUUCUUUUCCUAUCCAAGACCCCAGGUAGCAUCUAUGUUCCUGCUGUUUGCUGGAGUAUAAUAACUGGCUGAGGCAUCACCUCUUUCCUUUACUAAAGCUUCAUUUGUAAAGGGAGAGGCGUUUGACAAGGCAGUCUCGGGUGUUAACUUCUGUGAGGGAGAUGCCCUAAGAGUAAGGUGUAUUAGUUAAUCUCACCUCACUGGUGAGCCCCCCAUACCUUAGAGAGGAGAGAGGGAGAGAGAGAGAGAGAGAGAGAGAGAGAGAGAGAGAGAGAGAGAGAGAGUAAAAUAACAGGCCUUGGAUUCUCAGCCAAAGUCCUGGCAGAACCAGAAUUGAGCCUGUGUCUUCAUUCAUUGUGUGCCCUCUCUCAGCACUCACUAAGGUCUUCACUGAGACCCAGUCUGCAGAAACUGAGACACAGUCCUGUUUCCUGUACAUGGCAACCUUCAAAUACACCACACUAUAUGCAGUUCCCGGAGCUCUGCUGCAGGCUGCUAUCCUGAGGGAGAGCACUGGAUUGCAGUGGAGAGAGGCCGCAAGUGAAAUUGAUUUAAAAUGAGUUCUCUGACCUCUAUGCUGUACAAAUGCCCAUGUUUGCAUUGACCAGGAAACUUCUGUGGCUCAAUCCUCUCUAAAUUUCCAUCCUUCUAAGUUCUCCGCUCUCAAUCUUUCCAUUUAUUCCGGGGUUCAGCUCUCCUCCUGUGUCCCUGUACAUUUUCUCCAAGUGGCCCAUUCUCCUCUUGAACUUCAAAUGUUAAACAAUACUGUUUUUGUUUGUUUAGCCUAGGCUAGCCUUCAACUGGAUAUGUAGCCUAGGGUGGUCUUGAUCUCCUGAUUUUCCUGCCUCCACUUCCCAAGGACUGAACUUACAGGCAUGCAUGAUGCCCAGCAACAAUACUAUUAUCAAUAGUAGCACUAUGGGCUGGUGAGAUGGCCCUGCAGGUAAAGACUUAUUGAGAAGCCUAGCAACCUGGGUUGGAUCCCCAGAACCUGUGUGGUGGAAAGAGUGAAUUGACUCCUGCAAGUCCUGCACAUUGUCCUCUGACCUCUAGGUGACCACUGUGGCACACUUUUGUGACAUACACAUACACAUGCAUGUGCACAUGAAGUAAAUAAAAUGCAACACACACACACACACACACACACACACACACACACACACACACACACACACACACACACACAUCAAACAUUCCCUGAGCCCUUAAGACAGUCUGGGCUCUAGGUUGUUUCCUUAAUCCUCACAACGGCCCUAUUAGCCAAAGCUUCCAGGGGCCAAGUGACCAGGCUGGAACUCAGGCCACCUCACUCCAGAGCCCACAUCCCAAGGACCUCUCAUUCUGGGUCCCUGACUCUCUCUUCUUGCUUCCGCAUGUGCGUUUUUAACUCCCAGUUCUAAACAACUCGAUCCUAGGUCUCUCCCAUCCAAUACAUCCAAGCUGGUAGUUAUAUUUUAUUUUGUGUACCAGAUCUUCCUCCUUAAAGAAAGACAAUAACUGAACUGGAGUCUUAACUGAGCACCCUCCUGACGUCUCCUUCUCCCUCGUCUGUGUCCACACAGUCAGUCACUGGGCCUCCUUAAUCACUAAGUGUUUUGAAGCCCUGUCCUGUUCUGAUUCUCCGAAGCAUCCUCACUACCCUAGUCUAGACAUUCAGCAUGCUUCCUCCGGAUCAUGGAUGCUGCAAGACAUCACAUGAUUAUGCCACCCUCAUUCUCAAAAUUCCCCAGAUUGUCUUGGCCCUUCAUGUUAACUUUGGCUCUCUCUAGUAGGGCAGACAAAGCCCCUCUAGACCUGGCCUUUUUUCCCCCUGUCCCUCUGUCUAGCUGCUUCUCUAUACGCUGGUGUCCUCCAUAGGCUCCCUGAGCUGUGGUCUCAAAGGAACAAUCCCUGCAUCUCCCCCUCCCUGCCUGCCACCCCACUUUGCAUGAUUCUAUGCUCCUUCGGCUGCUCUAAGCUCUGGAACUUUGUGACCAAUGAAUGAUAUAAUAUUGGUGCAACCAUGGGCCAGUUGCUAAGUCUCUCUGUGCCAUUGUUUUCUUAUUAAUGGAGUGGAGAUGCUGGAAGCUGCUCCCCUUUUUUUGGUACUGAGAGGUUGCCAUGAGUUGGUAUACAGGCAGCGGACUUCUGGAGCUGACUCGGGUGUCCACUUUUUUCGUCAUCCCACUGCACGAGGUGUUCUCCUUUGGCAUGGCAUUUAACAAGACACUUCCUAGCCUGUAUACUUCUUAAACCAAGAUUUACCUGUCCUUUCCCACCCUCCACCCCACCCCAGAGCUGAGGACCGAACCCAGGGCAUUGCGCUUCAGGCAAGCACUCUACCACUGAGCUAAAUCCCCAACCCCUAUUCACCUGUCUCACAGUCUGCAAACGCUUAGUGGCUCACAUCAGGUCCACAUCUUGUGUAGGGUGAGGAUAUGAGUGUGUGUGUGUGUGUGUGUGUGUGUGUGUGUGUGUGUGUGUGACUCCAAAGUGGUUUCCCAGGGCAAAUCAGGCAGGCUUCUUGGAAGGGAACUGUUUUGAGCACUCUGAGUUGUUUUAUCUUUCUUGUUUUGCCAGGUGACUUGAGUUAGAAGGAACUGGGAACAUUCCAGGAUUAAAUAUUUCAAGCCAAAACAAAUACUUUCUGGAAAAGAGAAGGCAGCAGACUUCCUUUCCAGAACCAAGUGAGAGAGGGGACCCCAGGCCCUCAGAUAUUUGUGCUCAGGCUCCCUCAGCUGUGGGGGAGAUCUCAACCUGGCCUUCUGCCUCAGAGUAACGUCCCCAUAGGAGGCUGGAGGCACAGGCUCAGAACCUCUCAGCACAUACAGCAGAAUUCGGGGCUCAAGAAGUUUCUUUUAGAGACGAAAUUGCUCAUUCUCUUGAGUGUCAAGCUGUCGCUGUGAGGCAAGUGUGUGUCUGCUGGGGAGCUGACUGUUUGCCAGGAUAAAUUUCUGAUAAUAACACAAAGUCAUUACUGUGCAAUUAGUGCUGCUAAUGAGGAAUGCAAAAUUGCCUUCCCACCCCACCCCCCAUUUCUACCUCUCUGAGCUUUUCCCUCUCUCCACAUCUAUUCUUCUCAACCUCUUCCUUCCCCGACCUGGGGGUGAGGUGGUAGAGAAAGCAUGGGGAGGGACAGAUGUAGGAGGGAGCUAUCGUCAACUACAUUUUGACUCUCUGUCCCCCCCCAAAUUAACAAAGCACCCAUGGGGCUGAGAGAGUGGUAGAGAACGGAGGCAUGAUCCAUUGCCCGGGAGAUCCUGUCUAGUGUCUGGGCAACAGGAGUUCUGUCUCAGCAUGGAGGAGGCAGCCAGAGUCAAGGCUGGGUAGCUAUGCUGUGGGAGGGUGAUGCUGUGUUUGUUUCUAAGAACAACAGCUAAGCUUGAUGGGAUAGACUUUGUUUCUUUCUGAGUAAUUAUUUCCCCUAACACACACACACACACACACACACACACACACACACACACACACACACACACAAGAAUUUUCGGUCACACUCCUGAAUGUAUCUAUCUGACAGAUACUCUGAAGUUCUCCUUUAGCGGUGGCUAUCCAGCUUUUGGGAAACUUUAGCAUUCCCCAGGAGAGUGGAACAGGGCACGGUUACAAACUCCGAGAUAAUCACAGAGACCUCUGUCCCUAAGGGUGCUUCCUCAGAGUGGGCUGCUUGGGCAAGCAGGAAGCCAGUUGGUGGGUUGGCGCUCACCUUAGCCCCUAGGGACAGGGCAGAUGAAGACUUCAGGAGGAGGAGAAGAAAAGAGGAAAUGGCUCCGUGAGGCAAGCUCAGGGGAGAAGGUUGGGAACCAGGGCCAGGAUUCCAAGAACUCUUGCAGCAGCGAGAGCAGCAGGCAUGGAGGUGGCUGCAAGCCACAGCUCCAGAGCCCAGGGAGACCACGGGAGACCGCAGAGUCUGGGAGCCUGCCACCCCAGCAGGAGGUGGAUUGGAUGGCCUGUUUGCCUCUAUCCAAUUCUUUAUCAUUCUUGUGCAUGAAAAUUGCCCCAAACCAACUGUUUUCCUCACAGCUGUGCUCACCUGGGGUGGGGAGCCAGAAUGGCAGGGGACUUUCAUUAUUCAUCCCACUGAAACGCUAGAGCCAAACAGCACCACAAAGAAAAGUGUCUGUUUUCCCCAGAAGCUAUUCUAGUUGUGAGUGAGUUGGGGAGGGAAAGGUUAUCCUGGGAGCCUCUGGGCUACUGAACACUAGCAUCCAGCUUCUGGGUUGGGAAUGGUGCUUGGGCAAUGCUUUUCUUGGGUUUCCUCAAACUUUGUUAGGACAGUUCCUUAGCCAAGAAAACAUUUCUACAAGACCCUCCAUUCCAGUACUCCCUCUUCUUCCCACAGGGCCAGACCCAGAGGCAGUGCAUGGAACCUUCCUUCUUUGACAUCUAUUUGAGUUAGCCUCCCCUAGAGGAUGCUAUUUCUAUUGGUGUAACUGUCCUGGACAAGGACCCCAAAAAGUGACUGGGUAAACAGUGUCCGUUGCCUAGUAGGUAGGUACUCAAGCAGUUCCAUCUGGGUAGCUCAGCCAAGAUGGGAGUUUCAAAGUUUGUGAGGUGGUGACGGUGUCUAAUUAAUUCCUCCUUGCCAGGAAGGGAAGUGAAGGCCACCAAGGAUCUCAAGCUGAGCUGCUGUGGGGGAGGGGCUGUCGCCAUCCUCUAGCUGGCUUUCUAAAGCUGGCCAUAUGUUAAGAACAGCUGCUUUGAAGACCCUAGGCACAUCUUGGAGCUCUUCCUACAGACCUCGGCUACCUAGAUUGGCAGACACACCCCAUCUCUAUCUCCUUUCUUUGGCUCCCUGACAUUGGCACUACGGGCCUCCAGAAAUCUUCUGGGCUGUUACUACCCAGUGGGCUCCAUGCCUGCAAAGCAUCUUCCCUGAACUAAUGGCCUCAGUUGCUUCCACCUGAGUCACUUUAGGGUCCUGCUGCCACCUCCAUGUCCUUCUCAGGGCAUCUGCUCCAUCUCUUAGUUCCCCUACCCAAGUGAAGACCAGAAUCCUCUUCCUUGAUUUUUCUCAGCAUGCCACAGCAAGUUGGCAUUUGAAAAAAAAAAUUUCCAGAACUCUAAGGAAAGCACUACCAUAGCCAUCAUUUCUGGAUCUGUUUCUGACCAGAGAGACCAGGUUCCAUGCCCACAGACCUUUCCUGGGCCCAGGCCCCUGUGAGGAUGAGCCAGUAGGCUGAGUCCUCAAAGUACCAACUGAACAACCGGAAGAGGGUCCCUAGAGUUUGCCACAAGCUCUCCAGCAACACCCAAGUGGUGGCUUGUGCUGUACAAGGAAGCCAAAUGUUAAAGGCUCCUGGAGACCAAAGGCAGGACCCAGACACGAGGAACAGGUAGAGUUGGGCCAGCACAAAGCAAGUCAGGUCCCAGGAAACAAUUGCCACCAACACCUGUGAAGGUUCAGAACGGCUUACAGGGCUGCUGGUGUGAUGCUGUGCUGUGAGGGCCCAACAUGGGUGACAGCAGAGGGCUCCAGGCAAGGCAGAAGUCCUCACUUCCUUCCAGCUUCUGCCCGUUUUCAGAAGAGUUGAGCAAGCCACUCUGACUUCUCCAAUAACAACUUAAAAGAAGACCACAAGGACCUCACUUGGCACUGGGUGGCUCUCUUAUUAAGUCCAAGACAAUUCUAGUUGGCAAAACACGGAGAGGUUAUGUGCGUGGGCCUUGGAGCUGGUCAGAGACAGAUCUAAAUCGUGUCUGAUUUAUUCAGUGUCUAUAGCCCAUCUGAACCUCCAUUUCCUGAACAGUAAAAUGAAGAUUAUAUGACCACUUUCCUGAAUUGGAAUAAUUCCUGGAGAGGGUCUAACAUAUAUUAAGUGCUCAAUAAACGGCAGCAAUGUGAUUAUCACUUGGAUUUGAUUAUGGUCUAUUGAAUGACCUCAAAUUCAAGAGCGUGACCUUGAUAAAGUCCUCUAGAAGGGGGAACACCUUACCCACCUUUGAAUAGCAAAGACUGACAGCCGAAACUGCCCUUAUCUGCUCUAAGGGGAGGAUACAGCCUUCAGGUGGCCCUUUUCCUUCUCCACUGAGGUGGGCACCGGUAAGGAAGUGGAGAGGCGGCUGAUGAUUAAAUUGAGCCCUUUAGACAUGAAUUAUGGAUCGAUGACCUUUCCUGGCUUAAUUACUCCCACUGCUGUGUGGCCUGGGCUCUGGUGUGAAGCCCUGGAGGGGAGCAAAUUCUGCUCACAGCCAGCAAAACCCAGAGCCCCAAGCUCCUGCUUUUAUCUACCGUGGUUCACGUGGCUAUUUCUGUGGCCGGGAAAUUCUCUCACUGUGAUGAAGGUCACGCCCUAGUCUAGGGGCAGACCCCCUCUCGGUUCUCCUAAUCCUUUUGACCUUUCACAGCAUCGUCUUUUUAAGCUUACUGACAUCAGCUCAUUUUUUAAGGUGGAAUCUGAGGGUUCCUAAUGAAGCUGUCUCACUAAUAGAUCUGUGGGUUCUUACUGCGCUGGUACAUAGAGAGAGCACAGGGCACUGGACGGAGGGUGACCCUCUCAGCUUCAUGAGGGGAGAGAACAAGUGGCUGAGUUUUGCUUGAUAAAUGUUUUCAGACGUACAAAAAUAAAAGGAAAGAAUAAUAAAAUGAAAUCCCACAUACCUAUCACCUGCCUUCAAAAUAUAUUGAUAUUCUAACCUUGUUCAUUUCAUAUCUCAUCUGGUUAUUUUCAAAAGCCUUAAGGUAAAUUUCAGACAUUAUAUUAGCAUACCUGUCAAUUCAUCUGCAUACACUUCUAAUAUAUACAUAUAUGUGUAUAUAUAUGACUUUGCAUAUAUGUGCAACCAUCACCCCCAAAAAAACCUAACAAAAUAAUUCUCUUAUAUACAAUAUGUAAUUGUUAUUCAGUUGUCUACAAUGUCUUACAAUAUUUGGCAUAUUUUGACCCAAAAUACAUGGUGUGUGUGUGUGUGUGUGUGUGUGUGUGUGUGUGUGUGUGUGUGUGUGUGUGUGAGAUGUAUGCAUGUGUGUAUGUGGGUACACAUGCCCACACAUGUGCAUAUGAAGGCCAGAGUGGGACAUUAGUCUUUCUCUCUCAUUUUCUGCCCUAUUGUCUUGACAGAGGGGUCUCUCACUGAAAUGGUUAGGCUAUUUUGGCUAGGUUGGCUAGCCAGCAAGCUCCCGAGAACCCGCCUGUCUCUGCCCUACAAUGCUGGGGUAACAGACAUCCAUGGCCAUGCUCAGCUAUUUACAUGGGUACUGAGGAUUUGAACUCUGACCCUCAUACUUUCAGAACAAGUGUUUUUACCCACUGAGCAUUCAUCUCCAUUCCAGUACAUGGGUUUUAAGUAGUAGUGCCUGAAUUUCUUCAUCCAAAGCUGAUGGUCCCCAGUAGAACCACCUAGACAGCUGAGUGUGGCCAGUCAACUCAUUAGUGGAGAGGUAAAGAGGAGGACAUGAAGACUAAGCAGCCUUCAGGCUCUGUCUCUUAUGAUCGUUACGAAACUUGACUUAGGACUCUGCCCAAGUGUACAUGUUACCCUGUCUCCCCAGGCGUAGCCAGCUGUUCCACUCAUGGGCUUCUUGGGCCCUUAUUCUGAGCUGAAAGUUGAGGGGACAGAUAAGGAAGAGUCUGGAAGCUAAAGGAACUUGCUGUCCAAUACGGUGACAGCCUGGUGUCUUGACCCUGUUGUCAAGCGUGCACAAAGAAUAGUAGGCGGGCUGGAGCGAUGGCUCAGGGGUUAAGAGCACCGACUGCUCUUCCAGAGGUCCUGAGUGCAAUUCCCAGCAACCCCAUGGUGGCUCACAACCAUCUAUAAUGAGAUCUGGUGCCCUCUUCUGUGUACAUAAUAAAUAAAUAAAUCUUUAAAAAAAAAAAAAAAGGAAAGAAAGAAUAGUAGGCUGGAGAGGGAGCUCCAGUCUCUGGGAGCCAGGGAAGGCUUUAGAAACAGCGGCAUUUUGAGGUUGGGGAAAUGGCUUCAUGAGUAACAGUGGUUAUCUGCAAGCAUAAGGACCUGAGUUCAAAUUCAUAGCACCCACAUAAGAAGCCAGUCAUGGCUGCGUGCCCAUAACCCCAGCAUUGGGUAGGGGUGAGGGAGGGGAUUGGAGCCAGGUGGAGACCUAGAGUUCAUUACCCAGCCAGACUAAAAUGGUGAGUUUCUCAUUCACUGAGAGGCCUUGUCUAAAAAUAAUAAAGUAAAGCAUAACAGAAGAUGACGUGGAAUGUCUUGUUCUGGCCUCUACAAGCAUACCCAUGGGCACUUGCACAAAUCACACAGAGAGAGAGAGAGAGAGAGAGAGAGAGAGAGAGAGAGAGAGAGAGAGAGAGACAGACAGACAGACAGACAGACAGACAGACAGAGACACAGAGACAGACACAGAGACACACAGAGAGGCCACUCUUUCUUUAAAGAGUGGCAUUUUGAACCACAGGUGCUACAGGUGUCAAGGUCCCCAAGAGAGUCCCAUCUCCAGAUUCUAAGGCAGAAACAGACACAGAGACCAAAGAGAGAUCAAAUAUCUCCUUUCUCACAGGUGAAGCUGGAAAGGAGAACACAGCUUAGAUCUGAAGCCCAAAGGGACUCCUUGCUCCUCAUCACAAAAGAAUUUAAUUAAUUGAGGCAGGGCGCAGAGCGGAUGUGGACAAGAGAAAGAAACAUUAGGCAAACAGCACACAGUUAGAGCAUCACUGUCAACAGGCCAGCUCUUACCAGAAGAGGGAGGCAUCCUGAGAAGUUUGUCUUAGGCCAGAUGGUCUGUGGUGAGCAGCUGUGGUUCAGCUUCAGGAGACCUUACGUCUGAUGGGAGAGGAUGCUUCCUGUCUGCCUGUGGUCUCCACGUCCUCCCUCCAGGCCCUGACCUGGGCACUGUGCCCAAGUCUUCUCAGCCAAAUCAUUCCCUACAUGGGCUGUUCUCUGGAAGUCUUCUCCUCCUUCACUUCCUGCUCUCCGUGUUGACCUCUGUAGACCACACUCACACCCUGACCCUGUCACCCACAGCCUGCUCAAACACCUGCCACUGGUCCUUAGGCUGUUGUGUAGGUUCCUUCAUAUCACAGACGUCCCCAACAUCACUAUCAACUCAAUGCUUGGGAACUUCUGAUAGCUGUCCGCCUCUUUUCAAUACAACGCCACUUAGGUGCUUACUCUCGGCCAAGGCCUGUUUCUCUAAUGAACACAUUCAGCUGCUGACUGAAUCCACAUCUGAGCAUAGGAUGUACUGUAGCGAACAGACCCAGACUCCCAUCCCUCAGAGGCUUAUAAGCUAAUAGAGGAGAGGGAGGAUGAGCCCGUGUCAGGCACUCACAAAUGUCAGGAUGAAAAAUUAGGCUGAGGUGGAGAGCCACAGGUGAUGCCUUUGUGGGUAGAUUGUUCAGGAAACAUUUAUGAAGAGAUGGCAUUUGACCAGAACAAAAUGAGGGGGUGAGACAUUUGAUAACCAGGACAAGGAACUCCAGACAUCGAGAAAAACAAGUACAAUGGGCACGAUGUGCUUAAAUGUUCAAGGAGCAUCAGGAAAGUCAGUGUGCCUGGAGCAAAAUGAAAGAGAAAAAUGAGGCCAGGAAGCUGGCUCAGUGGCUGAGGGCACUUGCUGCCAAGCCUGAAGACCUGAGUUAGAUCCUUGGAGCCCACAUAUUGGAAGGAGAGGACCAACUCCCAAAAGUUGUCCUCUGACCUCCAUGUAUGUGCCUUUGUGGUACACCUGCUCUUACACACGCACAAAAUGAAUGAAUGAAUGAAUGAAUGAAUGAAUUGGAAGGAAUGGGACUACAUCUCAUAUGGAGUAUUUGUCAAGUGGAAGGGUGUAUACUCAGCAUCUAUUCCAGAAAAGUGUGUGAAUGAAUGAGUAGGAGGCCAAGUCCGGGAGGAAGGCUGGACUGUCCAAUAUAAGUAAACACAUGCUGCUAUUUAAAUUUAAGUUAGUUAGAAUGGAAUGAAAUUUAACAUUUUUUUUUAAAUCAGGAGGCUGGAGAUCAAUAGUUAAGAGCACUUGCUGUUCUUGCAGAGGACCUGGGUUCAAGUCUCACCAUUCAUAUUGUUUGGCUUACACGCGCCUGUAACUCCGGUUCCAGGAGAUGUGAUACCCUCGUUGGUCUCCUUGGGUGCCUGAACAUACGUGGUGAACAUACAUAUAAGUCAAGCACAAAUACACACAUAAAAUUUAAAAGUCCUUAAAAAAAAGAUGUGGGGAAUGACUCAGUGGGUAAAGGUGACUCCGGGGAACGCAGGGACCCGAGUUUAACCCCCAGCACCUAGGCGGUGGGAGGAGAGAGAGAACUCACUCCUGCAAGUCCUCCUCUGGCCUUCAUGUACCGAGGCUUGUGCGUGUGUUCACACACACAAUAAGUAAAUGUAAAAAUCUCCUUUAAUUCAAAAUCAGCUUCUCAGUUGCUGUAGGCUGCUCAGAAGUGUUAACAGCUGCCUGUGGUGCCACAGUGGCCAGCAAAGAGGGCGAUGCUUCCAUCGCUGAGAACGCUCUAGCGGACAGAGCCCACACGGCGCUUCGCAGACCUCAGUGAGAACGCGGGAUGUAUGCUGAGUGACGGAAGGAUCUGGAUUUGGACAAGAAUGCUCAUGAGCUGUUUCACAUUUUCAAUUAGGUGGUAGAAGUCUUCAAACCCAGCCCUUGAAAAGCAGAGUUGAAAAGGUCAGGAGUUCAAGGCCAAUCGCAGCUGCAUAGUAAAUUCAGCCCAACCUCAGCUCUGUGCCACCCUGUCUCGUCUCGGUCCCAUCCCAAAGUGUCCUUCUGCUUGUGUGGCGCAUACAGUACAGGACAAGGGUGGCAGUAGGGACGUCACUGAGAAGAAUAUUAUAAUGCCAGAGAGACAGGUGGUGGUGUCUGAACCUGGAUGAGGAUGGUAGAGGUGGUAGCUUGGAGUUGAAUUCUAUUUAUACAAAUGGCUGUGCUCAUGGGUUAAAACCUUUACCCCACUAGUCAGUGGAUUAAUCUACUGAUGAACUCAUAAUUUCAUGGCAUUAUUAGAAAGCAACAGAAACUUUUGGAGGUGGUGUCUGAGGAAGUAGGUCACUAGGGACCAUGUCUUUGGGGGGUAUAUCUUGUUACAGAGCAGUCUCUCACUCUCACUCUCUUCCUCCCUCCCUCUCUCCCUCCUGUCUGCCAUGAUGUCAAUACUCUCCUCUACAACAAACUUCUGAUGCCAACAUGUUCUGCCUUACUGGUAUGGGACAGAAAAGAUGGCUUUUAUAUUCUUUUAUAUUCUGCAUUACAACAAUACACCUACUCCGUUUGGUAUAAAGGGAUGUGCACCUGCAUCUUGUUACAACUGUAGCACCUACACGCUAACUGUUGUUCAGAUUUAACCCUCUCACCACCAGCCAGCCAAACAAGUUGCCCCUGGAGGAAUACAAGGUGAACACUGUCAGCCACGAUCCGGUGUUAGAAGAAGUACCUGAGCCCAGACAUCCACAAGAUGAGGCAGAAGGCAAGGAUAACAAGAAACGCACUGGCAUCACAAGCUGCAGAAACGUGACGGAAGAGCAAAACUGAGCUCCGCAAGGAUCAGCUUCUUCUGAUCCCCACCCCGCACUUUCAAAUAAGCUGCCGGCUGCAGCUGAGAUGUAGGCGGCAUGUUUAAGACAUUAACCCGCCGCCUUAGGUGCCCAGCUUGCUGAGUAAAGUGCGCUUAGAGACUCAGUCCUCGGCACUGCUCACUGGCUAAUCUGGUCACAGACAGCACAAGGUCUGGUAAACUCUGGCAGCUCCACAAGGACGGCUUCAAGACCACCCAAAAAGUCCCCGAGUCAAUGAGGCAUCACCAUCGAUGCCUGGACUUGGGAAGCCAGAGUUCCGGGCUGGAACACUCUUAAGUGGCUCCACUGGGGAGCUUCCUGGUUCCCGGGACCCUGGCACAUAGACUAUGUUGCUUUCACUUCACAAAGGGAAUCGUGGAGCUUUCUGGUUCAGUGCCUGGGUUAAAGGAAGAAGUACAGCACAGAGGAAACAGCAAGCGAGAAGGAAGAGGUAUGCAGAGAAGACUAGUCUGAGGAUGCAGUUUUGGGUAAGGAAAACGGAACAGAAAAGGAAGGAUUUUAUAUCGCUAAAUAAAAUUUUCUCCUUAGAUAAAAUGACUAUAAUUUUCCAAAAUGGGAAAGGAAAGAUGUGGACAAGCCCAGUGGGCUUAAGCAUGUUGGAAAACAUCUGAGCAAAUCAUUCAAGGCUUGAGAAGGCGGCAACUUAAAGAUGGUCUGUGUAUGCUGAAUAAAGGUUAUUAAAAUUCCAAAAUUCAACGCAUGGAUACAAGACUAAUGCUUCAAACAACGAGGUCAGAAUCAACACAAAGUCAUGCUGGCUAUUUGCAGGGCUGAAGCAGGGAGGUUAGAAGUUCAAGGCCAGCCUGGGCUUCCUAAGGAGACCGUGUCUCAAAGCCAAUAGCAAAAAAAUGGAGUCGAUUUAUUCCAACCAUUUCAAAAGUAACCAAGGCUGAGGGGUUAUAGAGAAAUGAUUUUAUCUGAGGCUACCUGAUGCAGUGAGUGUCUUCUAACCUUGGCUCUUACUUUUGUUUCUGGCACACACGUUUCUUAAAUAGUUUCUUAAAUAAUUUCACACCAAGUCAAAACUGCUUUUUGUGGCAUGUGGAGUACUCUGAUAUGUACAACUUUGUGCUGGAGAGUUCCACACUGGUCAUAAACGUCAGUGAGCAUGUCUUUCAUAAACUGCAGAUGUAAUGGAUAAGAGUCACUACUGGAGUGCGGGAAACAGGGGACAGGUGAGACAAAGAGGAGCAAUUUUGUACUCUGUAUUAUCGUAGUAGUUCGAUGAGAAUGGCCCCCCAUAGGCUCAUAUGUUUGGACACUUGUUGGAGGAAGUGUGUCACUUGGGGAUGGGCUUUGAGAUUUCAAAAUCCCAUGCCAUUCCCAUCCUCUCUGCCUCAUGCUUGUGGAUCAAGAUGUCAUCUCUCAGCUACUGAUCCAGUGCCAUGGCUGCCUGCUUGCCUACUGCCAUGCUUCCUGCCAUGAUGGUUAUGGACCAUCUGAAACUGUAAGCCCCCACUAAACUCUUUCUUCUAGAAGUUUCUUUGGUCAAGGUGUUUUAUCACAGCAACAUAAAAGUAACUAAGACAAUUAUAAAGACACAUUUGUACUCCACAUUGUAAAAGGGAAUUUGUGUGUACAUAUUAUCUCUAGCUUAUUACUUACAUACUAUCAAUGUUUUGUUUCUGAGUUAAUCCCACUCCCUAGGAUGCCCUGAAGGAGUGCAAGGUCGAUACCAGCCGAAACUAAACAGGUGGAGCAUUUCGAGAAGUGUCUGAGCCCAAACACCCGCAGAAUGAGGCCAGAGUGCAAAGGAGGAUAACAAGAGAAGCAUAGACAUCUCAAAUCUCAGAGCUGUGGCCAGCCUCCUAGGCAGAGGCUCAAAGGGGAGCCCUGAAAUGACAGACCGCCUUUAUCUCCAAAGCCUUCUCUCUCUAUAAAUAAUCCUGGCUGGAGAUGAGAGGGACGGCUGUUUACUAAGGUCUUAAUGCUUCUCGGGGCACCAGCCUUCUGGAAAAAGCACAACUUAAGGAGUUAAUUCUACAAAGACUCAUUGGCCUCUGUGAUGACAGCCACAGGGGCUCUGGCUAUAAGAGAAGCCAAUGGAGUCAGCUGAGCAUGGAACUAACUCUCCUAAACCAUGAGUCAAAACACAACACUCCUCUAAGUUUUCUCAGGAAUUUUGUCAUAGCAGCAACAAAAUAGAACAUACUCUAGGAAUGACUUUGCGAUGUGGCUGUAAUCUAAAAAAUCAUAAUAAAUUGAAAAUAUGAGUUCAAAACAA